CUUGCAGAAAGCUGCCAAGCAGUAAGCCCAGGGACCCAGUGGCCCAGGUCUGACUGUGGGGAAGGGGGCGGUGGUGUCUGCUGAGGCCUGACUCUUUGAUAGAGUGACUGUGGCCCUGUUUCCCUCACUCUCACUCCCCUCAACACGGCCCUCCACAGCUUUCACGUCAUACUAAAAAGCUCGGGGCUGCGCCUGGAUCCAUCCAGGAUGGAGUGAUCAAGGACCAGGGACUUCCAACCAUCCAUGAAGUUAUUUUGGAGACAGUAGAAGACCUGGUACUUGGAAGAGAAGAAUUUGAACUGGGAGCCAGGACCCUACUCUCUACCUUGUAACUUGCUGGGAGAGACACCUGGAAUAGGACCCAAGGAGAGACAGGAAUCAGAGGGCUUAGAACAGCCAUGACACAGGGAAGCCUCUGUAAUGAGCCAAGUCAUUUGCCCUCCCCAGAGAUAAGGAUGCUUUGGAAAUGUGGAGAGCGUGGAAGUGCAGAGGACAGGAGAAGGAGCCACCUCGAAUGUGCGACUCUGGGUACUUCUGGACUAAAAGCUUAAUUUAAAAAGCAGAUGCAGCCAGGCGGUGGUGGCGGACGCCUUUGAUCCCAGCAGAAGACAUUUCUGUUACUAUAUUGGAAAAGGAGGAUGGAUGGCUCUGCCUUUAAUUCCAUUCGGUAUUCUGCAGGCGGAGGGAGGUGGUGGACCUCUGUGAGUUCAAGAGCAGCCUGGUCUACAGAGCAAGUUUCAGAACAGCAAAGAAAGCCUGUCUCAGAAGAAAAAAGAAGAAGAAAAGGGGGAAAGGAAGGAAGAAGCACGUGCAAGCGAGCCGCCACCCUCUCCACUUGUUUGGCUACCAGCAUAGUAGCUGUGUUGGGGUCACCAACAGCAGCAGACACUGCCGAGAGACGGCACCGGAGGACUCUGUGUGAUGGGUGUUCCUGACUUGCUCAUCCUGUCCAUUGAUCUUCUUUUUAGUUGCCUUCCCACAGUUUACUACCCUAGAGACUAAAGUUUUGUCUUUUUUUCCCCCCUCUGGAAUUUAUUGCUGUUUUCACCACCUUGUAGUGCUGAGGCUUGAACCCCUGUCUUUGGAUAUGUUGGUCAGCAUUCUGUGGGGCCAUUCUUGCUCAAACCACCACAGAUGCCAACUCAAAGAGCAGAAGGAAAGAGAAUUUUGACUGCUCUAUAAAAAUGUAUUAGAAAGAAGUUAGAAGGGCCAGGCUGGGUGAUGAAGGCCUCUAAUUCAAGCAUGACAAAGACAGACAGAUUUCUAUGAGUUCAAGGCCAGCCUGGUCUAGGAAGAAAGGAAGGAGGGAAGAAAGAAGGAACAAAGAAAGGAAGGAAGGAAGGAAGGAAGGAAGGAAGGAAGGAAGAAGGAAGGGCAAAUCCAGAGGGCUCCAUCAACACAUCACCAUAUCUACCACAGCUUUAGUAAUCUGCACAACUCGUCUCGUAUCUACGCCAUAGUCUGGAUUGGCUUUAACCAUUAAGACUGGGUCAUCUACUUUUCUUCACUGGAGUGGAUUGGGUUUCAUCAGGAGAACGGAUGGUUGCUGCCUAACCAAUUAAUUUAGCUCAGUUUGCAGCAUGUCCCUAGAAAGGAGAUAUGUACACAUUAAAUUUUUAUGAACACUGUCAAUACUCUGAAAGAUCUAGUGAGCUUUCUAUUACAAGUGUUUGAGAACAUCUUGCAGCCACUCUCGUGGGUCACUUUCUUUAAAAAAAAAUAUAUUAAGACUUCUUUUUAUCUCUA